UACGUAGGUCCCGAGCGUCGUCCGGAUUUAUUGGGCGUAAAGCGAGCGCAGGUGGUUUAUUAAGUCUGGUGUAAAAGGCAGUGGCUCAACCAUUGUAUGCAUUGGAAACUGGUAGUCUUGAGUGCAGGAGAGGAGAGUGGAAUUCCAUGUGUAGCGGUGAAAUGCGUAGAUAUAUGGAGGAACACCGGUGGCGAAAGCGGCUCUCUGGCCUGUAACUGACACUGAGGCUCGAAAGCGUGGGGAGCAAACAGG
rnacentral:rRNA from 1 species